rnacentral:rRNA from 1 species
UACGAAGGGGGCUAGCGUUGUUCGGAAUUACUGGGCGUAAAGCGCACGUAGGCGGGUUGUUAAGUCAGGGGUGAAAUCCUGGAGCUUAACUCCAGAACUGCCUUUGAUACUGGCAACCUAGAGACUGGAAGAGGUUAGUGGAAUUCCCAGUGUAGAGGUGAAAUUCGUAGAUAUUGGGAAGAACACCAGUGGCGAAGGCGGCUAACUGGUCCAGCACUGACGCUGAGGCACGAAAGCGUGGGGAGCGAACAGG